rnacentral:rRNA from 1 species
GACGAAUGCUGGCGGCGCGCUUAAUACUUGCAAGUCGAGCGAGAACCAGGGCUUCGGCCCUGGGGACAGCGGCGAACGGGUGAGUAACACGUGGGUAAUCAACCCCCGACACCGGGAUAGCCCAGGGAAACUUGGAUUAAUACCGGAUGCCCCGUCUGGCCUUCGGGCCGGCCGGAAAAGGGUAGCUUCGGCCUCUGGUCGGGGACGAGCCCGCGGCGGAUUAGCUUGUUGGGGAGGUAAAGGCUCACCAAGGCGACGAUCCGUAGCUGGGCUGGGGGGACGAUCAGCCGCACUGGGACUGAGACACGGCCCAGACUCCUACGGGAGGCAGCAGUAGGGAAUCUUGCGCAAUGGGCGAAAGCCUGACGCAGCGACGCCGCGUGAGGGAAGAAGGCCUUCGGGUUGUAAACCUCUUUCAGGAGGGACGAAGCCACUCGGGUUAAUAGCCUAGAGGGUGACGGUACCUCCAGAAGAAGCCCCGGCUAACUACGUGCCAGCCGCCGCCGUAA